rnacentral:rRNA from 1 species
UCUACGGGAUGCAGCAGUGGGGAAUAUUGGGCAAUGGGCGCAAGCCUGACCCAGCAACGCCGCGUGAAGGAAGAAGGCUUUCGGGUUGUAAACUUCUUUUGUCAGGGACGAAGCAAGUGACGGUACCUGACGAAUAAGCCACGGCUAACUACGUGCCCGCAGCUGCGGUAAGACGUAGGUGGCAAGCGUUAUCCGGAUUUAUUGGGUGUAAAGGGGGUGGAGGCGGGAAUGCAAGUCAGAUGUGAAAACUAUGGGCUCAACCCAUAGCCUGCAUUUGAAACUGGUAUUCUUGAGGGAUGGGGAGGCAAUCGGAAUUCCGGGUGUAGCGGUGAAAUGCGUAGAUAUACGGAGGAACACCAGUGGCGAAGGCGGAUUGCUGGACAGUAACUGACGCUGAGGCGCGAAAGCGUGGGGAGCAAACAGGAUUAGAUACCCCUGUAGUC